rnacentral:rRNA from 1 species
CAGCCGCCGCGGGAAUACGUAGGGUGCGAGCGUUAAUCGGAAUUACUGGGCGUAAAGCGUGCGCAGGCGGUUGUGUAAGACAGGUGUGAAAUCCCCGGGCUUAACCUGGGAACUGCGCUUGUGACUGCACAGCUAGAGUAUGGCAGAGGGGAGUGGAAUUCCACGUGUAGCAGUGAAAUGCGUAGAGAUGUGGAGGAACACCGAUGGCGAAGGCAGCCCCCUGGGCCAAUACUGACGCUCAUGCACGAAUGCGUGGGGAGCAAACAGGAUUAGAUACCCGUGUAGUCCCUGUCUCUUAUAC